GGAAUGAGAGAGACAGGAUAAGGCUGGAAGGAAGAUGGAUAAGAACCACAAAUUGAAGGAUAUUGUUAUUACUGUAGUUUAAAAAUAGUCUGAAAUGGUGAACCUGAUGGUUUUUAAUAGAGCAGAAUUAGGAUUAUUAGUUGUAUGGUUUGGUCUAUAGUUGUGUUUAUAAAAAUUUUUAUUUUAUGAGUUACACAUUAUUUUACUUUUUUCUUCAUAGGCUAAGAAGUAUAGCUACAAUCGUGUACAAAAUAUACUUGUUAGUCACAUGUAGAUAAUCAGAAGAUGACUCAUAUACUUUGAGUUCAACAUUUUAGCUAGCAGAUUUAAAAAAUAACUAAUUUAACCAACCUAGAUUUUUACUUCAUUGUUAGCAACUGGAUACCUAACUUUGGGCAAACAACAUGGGUGUUGGAGUGGUUGGAAUUAUAGAGUGUAAUUUCCUUAAGCCAACUCAUAAUAAACAAGAUUUCGACUAUACUAAUGAGUACAGACUUACAAUAACAGCACUAGGAGAAAAGCUGAAUGAUUACUGGAAUGAAAUGAAAGUGAAGAAAAAUACAGAAUAUCCUCUAAAUUUGCCAGUUGAAGAUAUACAGAAGCGUCCUGAUCAGACAUGGGUUCAGUGUGAUGCCUGUCUAAAGUGGCGGAAAUUACCUGAUGGGAUGGAUCAACUUCCUGAAAAAUGGUAUU
rnacentral:sRNA from 1 species